AGACGAAGGUGGCAACCGUUGUUCGGAAUCACUGGGCAUAAAGCGCACGUAGGCGGGAGUGCAAGUCGGGUGUGAAAUCCCUCGGCCUAACCGAGGAACUGCGCCCGAAACUGCUUUUCUUGAGGACAGAAGGGGAGCAUGGAAUUCCUGGUGGAGCGGUGAAAUGCGUUGAUAUCAGGAGGAACACCGGCGGCGAAGGCGAUGCUCUGGUCUGUUUCUGACGCUAAGGUGCGAAAGCCAGGGGAGCAAACGGGAUUAGAAACCCCAGUAGUCC
rnacentral:rRNA from 1 species